AAGUUUCAACAACGGAUCUCAUGGCUCUCGCAUCGAUGAAGAACGCAGCGAAAUGCGAUAAGUAAUGUGAAUUGCAGAAUUCAGUGAAUCAUCGAAUCUUUCAACGCACCUUGCGCUCCUUGGUAUUCCUUGGAGCAUGCCUGUUUGAGUAUCAU
rnacentral:rRNA from 1 species